UACGUAGGGUGCAAGCGUUAAUCGGAAUUACUGGGCGUAAAGCGUGCGCAGGCGGUUUGUAAGUUUGUCGUGAAAUCCCCGGGCUCAACCCGGGAAUGGCGAUGAAGACUGCAAGGCUAGAAUCUGGCAGAGGGGGUGAGAAUUCCACGUGUGAGCAGUGAAAUGCGUAGAGAUGUGGAGGAACACCGAUGGCGAAGGCAGCCCCUGGGUCAAGAUUGACGCUCAUGCACGAAGCGUGGGAGCAACAGG
rnacentral:rRNA from 1 species